rnacentral:rRNA from 1 species
UACGCAGGGGGCGAGCGUUGUCCGGAUUCAUUGGGCGUAAAGCGCGCGUAGGCGGCCGGGCAAGUCGGCCGUGAAAUCUCCCAGCUUAACUGGGAGGGGUCGGGCGAGACUGCCCCGCUAGAGGCGGGUAGAGGGCAGUGGAAUUCCGGGUGUAGUGGUGGAAUGCGUAGAGAUCCGGAGGAACACCAGUGGCGAAGGCGGCUGCCUGGGCCUGGCCUGACGCUGAGGCGCGAAAGCGUGGGGAGCGAUCCGG